GACGUCGGUGGCCUAAUGGUUAGCGCGUUGGAUUCCGGAUCGAGCGAUCCGGGUUCGAUCCCUAGCCAGGGUCA